ensembl:lncRNA
UUUAACAGUAGUAUGCUACGUUGUUGUCACAUCAUGACCUCGUUGCACUGAUUGUGUAAUGCAGUGAGCAAUGUAUUUUGCAUUUGCCAUCCUUUUUGUGUGUGUGUAAAAAUGUCUCAAUCUUUGGCAGUCUGAUCAAAUAAUGAGUGAAGGAGAUGUUAAAAAUGUGCAUUGAUAUUCUUUGUCUGUAAUGGAAAAGUCGAAUGAAUUGCAUUGUGGGAUGCAGUGUUUAUUUAUUUUGCACUGUUUGCUCUGAAUGUAUUUUUUUUUUUAAAUAACAGGUAUAGUUGUAUUAAUUAAAUAGCUGUGUUAAACUGUUGUCACAUCAUAACCUCACAACGCUGCUUGUGUAAUGCAACGCUUGUGUAAUGCAUUUUGCAUCUUUAAUCCUUUUUUGUAAAAAUGCCUCAAACAUUCAAUUGCAUGUAUGUCGAUACACACAUUCUCAGAGCAGAUGUCUCUGUCGGUGAGAUCUAAUGUUAUUUUUGCUGUUGUGCAUUUUCACAGGCCGUGGUCAGCUGGAAGGACGGCGUUCCUGAUUUCUGCUGGAACGCUCCGGAGGGUCUCCAUGAGUCUCAGGUGCUCAUUACGGCUCGCAGCAGGUGUCUGCUCAUUUCACCCGCGUCCGCUGAUCUCAGUUCAGCCUCGUGCGCUCGUUCUGACGGGGUCGUGUGUCCCGCGUCUCUGCCUGACCUCACAAACACGCCGUCAUCAUGCGAAGCAGAAGUUUUGCAGAAAGCCAGAUGUCUGACAGCAUGCUCUUAUCAUCUCCUGCAUCGGCCUCCUGAAGAAGACGAACGGAUGAAAGAUUCAUGAAGGAGGUGAAUGUUGGGGCACAACGAAACGAGCCGCUGCUCCAAACACUCGUCUCUCUUUCACCUGUGGCCCACCAGACGGCAGAACCGGUGUGUGAGCACAGACAGCACCAGCUGUGCUCUGGCUCGAGUGCUCGUCUCUCAGAGGGAAGCGUGGGUCCAGGUGUCUCGGCUGUGGCGUCGCCCGCAGUGCCGCCGUCGGCUGAGAGGCACGGAAGAGCUAAUCAGGCAGCAAAGCACUUCUGACGGACCGCAGAGAAAAUACAGCCACAAAACUACUCAGCACCCCACUCGUUUCAUUUAGCCCGCAGGAAAACCCGCCAGAGAGACGCUACCAUCGCUUUGAUGAUGAAGUUGUGAUGCACGCUCAACAUAAUAGAGCUUUCAUCCACCCAUAAAUAAAACUCUGACAGGCAAAUCAACAUUUCAAUUGAACAAAACACACAAACAGAAGACACUUCCGAUCUAAUGACAGCCCUGUGAAUAAUGAAAUGAAGCUGCUUGUAUGUGGAUUUGUCCGGUCGUCAUCCUUUCUCCGGUUCUAGACGCUCUGUUAAUGUCUCGACAUCUGUGGAAACCGCAGCAGUCCAUCAGUGCACAUGAAAACAUCAUUAAUUCAGUCUUUAUGCAUUAUUUACUUCUAUUGUCAGCCUUUUGGUAGCGUCUCACUGUUUUUUGUUUGUAAGUCAAUCUGAUAUUUUUC